UCUCCUGACUUCCUGGCAGCCCCAGGCGACUGAGACCGGGACGGAAACUCAGAGGUAACUCUUCACUCGUCAGAGAUCCUGCGUGUGAGACCGAUUUCCGCACAUGCGCAGUGGUUGCCUCAGAGCCCAAUCUACACCUAGGUAGCCGCACUGUUGGUCCGCGAACGUCUGCGGCUAGGGACAGAUGUUCAAGACAGGCAGACACCUGUGCCUCAGCAUGGAGGAGAGCCUACCAUCAAGCCCACAAGCCCAGACAUGGUUACCUUUUUGCGUGGCCGAAGCUUGUCCCGCCAUUCCUUCAGGUUCUGGUUAUGGCUCUCAUCUAGAGCCUUCAGCUUCUGAGUUUCAUGUUCUACCAGGAGGUGACACUUUUCAUUCUGGAACAAAUUCCAGGCAGAACAGAAGAAAUUCUGUGGUAAGGAUGAGGACAUGGACCUGACUGACGCAUUCCCAACUUUACUGUUCUCUUAGGGUGGAGAAGCACCUUGCAGUUCCUAACAGAGCCCACUCUCUGGCGCCCACCUCGAAGGAGUUCCUGCUUCUUAGUGAGACACUCGCGCUCCUUGUCACAGAUCUCCCGCCUGUUGUCAGCAGUGAUCUUCUUCAUCGCCAGCUCCAAGUCCUCCUUCUGCUUGGCCAGGAAGUCCCGGUCCUGUGUGGGAGAGAGAAUAGACCUUUAGCACUGGCUUGGGCACCUCGCUCUCUACUGCUAUUACAGAAGAUAGGUCAUUACAAGCAGCGAAGAAAACAUGUGGAAAUGUGAGACUUAGAGACACGUCAACCAGUUGUGGCAUGUGCUCUUUAUGUGGACCCUGAUUCAAACAAAUUGUAAAACAGAAUUAAUGAGACAAUUGGAAAUGGAAAUAAUAAUUCAAAUGUAAAUAUGUCAGUAAUUAUUGUUAAAUACUUAAAGUUUUAGGUACAUUUAUA